rnacentral:rRNA from 1 species
GGUGGAGCAUGUGGUUUAAUUCGAUGCAACGCGAAGAACCUUACCUGGUCUUGACAUCCACGGAAGUUUUCAGAGAUGAGAAUGUGCCUUCGGGAACCGUGAGACAGGUGCUGCAUGGCUGUCGUCAGCUCGUGUUGUGAAAUGUUGGGUUAAGUCCCGCAACGAGCGCAACCCUUAUCCUUUGUUGCCAGCGGUCCGGCCGGGAACUCAAAGGAGACUGCCAGUGAUAAACUGGAGGAAGGUGGGGAUGACGUCAAGUCAUCAUGGCCCUUACGACCAGGGCUACACACGUGCUACAAUGGCGCAUACAAAGAGAAGCGACCUCGCGAGAGCAAGCGGACCUCAUAAAGUGCGUCGUAGUCCGGAUUGGAGUCUGCAACUCGACUCCAUGAAGUCGGAAUCGCUAGUAAUCGUGGAUCAGAAUGCCACGGUGAAUACGUUCCCGGGCCUUGUACACACCGCCCGUCACACCAUGGGAGUGGGUUGCAAAAGAAGUAGGUAGCUUAACCUUCGGGAGGGCGCUUACCACUUUGUGAUUCAUGACUGGGGUGAAGUCGUAACAAGGUAACCGUAGGGGAACCUGCGGUUGGAUCAC